GUUUACAUUCCUGGAGUGUCUUUUAAACCCGGGGUUGAGGCCGGUUCCUGGCCUUCUCCAGAGGCUCCGGGGCAGUCUCCCGUGAAAAUCUGCUGGCGCACAAUGGCCUCGGGAAGGCGGCCGCCCCUGGCUCGCGCCCCCGCUGCUCCCGGGCGGGGAGCCUGUCCUCCACACCGCGCCCUCUCCCCGCCCGGCUGGCUUCCUGGACAGAUGUCCCCGGCGGGCAAGGGGGCGACGCGCGCCCGCUGCCCGCUCCCCAGACGCCGAGGCCGCGCUCCCCACUGUUUUUCUCCCCAGCCCAGACGCCAGCAAUGUGAAACAGGCUUCCAGAGCCCGCCCCCACCCCAGUUCCAGUCCCGGCCAGGCCCCCCAAUCUCCGCCGGGCCCGGCCUCCCACUUCCCCGGGGCCGCCGUCGCCGGAGACGGAAAGGAAGAAAGAACACGGGGAAAUUACUUUCGUAUUUGCAACCCGCGCGCGCGCACACACGCACAUCUUCCCUCUGGGCUCCCCUCCUGGCCGGGGCAGCCCGGCCCAGGGGUUGGCCUUAAAGCCCCUCCGGCUUUUAAAGACCUACAGGAAGCCCCUACACACACCCCUUCGUGUUCCCCGUUGGUACCGUGCGCCGCGUCUCCCCGGGCAAGUCACACACAAACAACUUAAGCGCGCGCCCAUCUCCCAUUUACGAAAGUGUAUGUUUUCCUUGGAAAUUCAGAUGCACAACUUAACAACACCACCCCUUGCCACCCCGAAAUCUGGCGCCUUCCCUGGUGGUUCUCGUACACACAGGCGCACAACUUCGCGUCUCCCCGAAGGAGGUGAGAGAGACCGAGGUAGUCCUUCCCUGGUCCCUCCCUCCUUCUCUCCCCGAAUCUCGGUCUUGCCUGGCCCCCGGGUGUUCGGAACGAGGGCUGGAGGCGCGCCGGCAGGAGGCGGGCACCAGUUCCGCGCGCGCACAACCGCACUCACGCCCCGCACACCCGACUAGCCUUCAUCCUCGCGCGCAGCCCAAGCCGGCUCCGCGCAGCCUGGCGUUCGCCGGUCGCUUGGGCCUCUGUCCCCUGCCGCCAAGAGGAGCGCAGCGGAGCCCGGCCGCCCGCCGCUAGCCCGGCUCACCUGGCCCCCGCGGACCCUUAAAGGGAAAAACCUCAGCACCCAGCGCCCCACGCUCGCACCUCAAGAGUCCACGGGAGCGGGAGGAAGGGCCGGGGCCAGCGGGCGCCUGCGUCUGGCCCUAAACUUACCGAGCGCUGCGAGAGCCGCUGCCGCCGCUGGAGGACGCGCCGCUGCCACUGCCGCCGCCGCCACUGCCGGGCAGGGCCGGCUCGGGCCGGGAGGAGCGCUGCGAGGUCGCCGAGAUCGGCUCCGCUCCGGCUCCGGCUGCGCGCCGACCGGGGCUAGGGUCACUGAGCUGCGCCGGCGCUGCUCGUUCGCUCGGCCGCCCGGUCGCUGCUCGCCCUCUCGCCGCCCGGUCGCUCGCUCUCCCGGGCGCCCGCCGCCGCUCGCUUUUUUAAUGUCCACAGACAGUGAAAAGGAACUCGGCGUUAGGGGGCGGAGGCGGCUGCGGCCGAUAGCCCGCUUCGGAUUCCAGGUGUGGCGGCGGCUCCGCGCUCCGUGUUUUGCAGCCCGCCGCAGUGUCGGAGGCGAGGCGAGGAAAGGAGCUGGAAUAACAAAGAGUCGUCGUCAAGAGCAAAUGAGGUAAUAAAGGCGGAAGCGCAUUCUCAACUCCACUGCAACGCUGUGUGGGAGGCCAAUCAACCCAACUCAUGUGAACACGCGCACACAAACACACACACACGCCAGAUGGAGAGAGACGAAUUCCUGAUUUCUGUGCUCGUGGUCUUUGUCCACCAGCCCCUCCAACCUCUUGAUGUGGUAUCUCCUCUCCACGUUUGGCCUGGGAAAGCCUGGGACCGUUGGUGGCCUCCAAGGAGCAGCAUCACAUUACACGCAGCUGGACCAGGCCCCAGGACAGCUAAAUGGCUGUCAUCUGGGCCCUGAGGCACCGGAGGGAGGAGUUCAGGGCACAAGGAGACCUAUGUAAAGCAUUUUCUGUUAAAGGAGGCCCCUGCUUAGCGAAGAAUCCACAUCAAGGAUCCAGAAUUGGCUGGUGCUCUGGGCAAAGGGUUUGGUUUGUGCAAAUCAUUUCCUCCUGCUAGACUUCCGGUCCCUCAUCUGAACCACGGCUGCCACGGACUCUACGAUCUUCUGCUUCUAACCCUCCAUGAUGCUGACCUCAGCUUCGGAACCUGGAAACAUGGCCAAGGGAAUGGAGGGAACAUGGG
ensembl:lncRNA